ensembl:lncRNA
CGCGAAUAACGUUACAGGUGUAUCAAUUCUUGUGAAGGACAUGGCUGCAGGAGACAAGUCCAUUUCUGAGUUACUCAGAGAACUUGCUAACCGCUUAGAUUGUACGUCUUCACCUCAGUCUGAGAGAGUGUUGCAGCAGCAUACUGAAGAUGAAGCGGUCCCUGGUCCAAGUUCUCAUCAAAACAGCACAGUGUUAACGUUAGGAAAUGCUAACGCUAUCACAGCUAGCUCAACUCCACGAAACGCUGUUCAGGCUGAAGUCGCAAGACUGUUUGCCCCUUACAGAGCGAGGCCUUCCUCAGCACCACUUUCAUCUCUGACCCCGCAAUCUUCCAAGAAAGCAUGCUGCUCCAUUUACACACACACCUUCUUCUGUUUACAUGAUCAUAUGUCAGACACAGUGCCAGCUAAAGCAGUCAAAUUUGACCUAGCAGCAGCUGGACUUGGAGAGAAAUGGAUUUCAUUCCAAGGAAGGGAUGAUGACCCAGAAGUGGUCAAGGCAAAGAUUGAGGAUACCUUCCCUCAGCUAAAAGACACAGGAGGGUUUGAACUGCUGAGAAUCUCGGGUACAACACAAAGCCGUAACCUGUGCACAAUCCCAAGCCCAGACACUGGAUAUACAGUGCGAUAUCUCCACAGUCCAUUGAGUGGAAUUGGACAAGCUUUGAUCUAUAUAAGGCCACUGCAGAAAAGUAUUGAUUUGGAAGACAGCCUGACAACCCUCCAGCAACAAGGACCCCCCACAAAAUGCCUGAAUCGUGACAUUAACAUUCCUUUAAAUAAAAUGAAAAACCACAUCACUAAAUGCACAAGUUCAUUGAGUGGUGCUGAACCUCAGUCUGUUACUGAAAGUCAGGCUAGGCAGACUCGUAGUACAACAGCAAGGUCAGAGGUCCCAUCCUGUAGCAACAGUGAUGCCUGGAAUCUGUCCUGUGGGGUAGAGGAACCCGAUGCUAUCAUCUUGGACUCCACCAUAAAUUCAGCAAGAGCAGAGCAAUCAUCAGGUGAUAUGGUAGUGCAGGAAAAUGCAUCUCAUCAAGAUGAGGAAAAGUCACUUCUAGGGGAAAAACCAGAGUGGAAAUGUGAACAAGAUGCAACCAGAGCAGCCUGGCUCUACAAGUCCGAGUUACUUUCAAAGUAUGAGACCAGAAAGACAGUAGUCCUGCAAAUGGACUUGCGGGAAAGUAUUGUGGAUCAACAGAGGUCACUUUUCUCCCUCUACAAAGCCCCAAAGGUAGAGUGGGCGGGCCCUGUCAGCUGCAAACUGGAAGGGGAUGUUGCUGUUGGAGAAGGGGUGAAGAGAUUCUUCUUCUCAAAGGCAGUUUCUCUAGUACAGUCUGGUUUGCAUGGAACACAGAUCUUACAAGGCUGUUUGACGGUGAGCCAGAACACUUGACUCCAUCCACUUCUCAGACCUUGCUUGAGAGUGACAUGUUUUUGGUGGCAGGAAGAAUAAUGGGACAUUCAUUCUUUCAUGGUGGACCGUGUGUGUCUGGUAUAAGUCCUGCAAUCAUCCAUGUCCUUUUUGGUGGCCCACCUGAAACAGCUAUAGUUCAGAUUGAGGAUUGCCCUGAUAUUGAUAUCCGCAGCACUAUUCAGCUGCUUGAUGGCACUGCUGAAUUAACAGAACUGGAACGAAGAAAUGUUCUCGAGCUAGCCCUGGCUUGGGACCUGCCAGGUGUCACACAAACCAAUAGAAAGUGGCUGUAUGAACGUCUGCUAUUCCACGCUGUCAUAACACGAACAAGCCGUCAAGUCAAGCAGCUGAGGAAAGGGCUUAAGGAGACCAUGGUAUGGCCGCUUCUGACAGAAAGAUCGGACAUCAUUCCUCUUUUCUUACCAAGGGAAUCAGAGACUGCUCCCUGUUGUGAGUCUACUCUAGAAAGGAUAGUGUGGCCUGCCACAGAAGAUGAAGCUGAGGAGGAAGAGGAAUGCUCUCUUGAGGAUAAAUGCAGAGUGGCAGGUUACCUUCGGUCCUUCAUUGAAAAUGGAACCUAGUGGAAAUCCAACAAAAUCAGCGUCCUAAUGAGCCGCUGCUAGAAGGACAAAAUCCUGACCUGACAUCAGUCCAAGAUUUGUCUUUAAAAUGUCCUAAAGUGAAAGUGUCUGGUUAAAUGUACUGAAAGGUGUUAAACAACAAGUGCUGCUGGAAGAGUUUUCAUGAAGAGAACAUUAACACUGUGAAUGAGGGAUGGACUUUGAUUCAGUUUGACACAAUCUGUUUUUCU